rnacentral:rRNA from 1 species
CCUACGGGUGGCAGCAGUGGGGAAUAUUGGGCAAUGGGCGCAAGCCUGACCCAGCAACGCCGCGUGAAGGAAGAAGGCUCUCGGGUUGUAAACUUCUUUUAUCAGGGACGAAGCAAGUGACGGUACCUGAUGAAUAAGCCACGGCUAACUACGUGCCAGCAGCCGCGGUAAUACGUAGGUGGCAAGCGUUAUCAGGAUUUACUGGGUGUAAAGGGCGUGUAGGGGGGAAAGCAAGUCAGAUGUGAAAGCCAUGGGCUCAACCGGUGGCCUGCAUUUGAAACUGUUGUUCUUGAGUACUGGAGAGGCAGGCGGAAUUCCUAGUGUAGCGGUGAAAUGCGUAGAUAUUAGGAGGAACACCAGUGGCGAAGGCGGCCUGCUGGGCUUUUACUGACGCUGAGGCUCGAAAGUGUGGGGAGCAAACAGGAUUAGAUACCCCGGUAGUC